UCCAUCAAAUUGAUGAUUCAUUCACAAUUAUAACCAACAAACAUAACUUCGGAACAAAGGAAAACAACAUUGAGAGACCUCAUCCUCUCUCUAAAUCUCUAAAAGAGAUUUUUCUAUGUUUUCUUUAAUUUUCUUGGGUCCCUUAGUCUCCUUCGGUUUUUGCUAGCUAGCUUGUGGCCCCAUCUGGGCAGGGGAAGUAAUUCAUCCUUCGUUCAGAAGUGGAUUCACUAGAUCCUUUCUCCGGGUAGGGUUGUAAUUUUUGAUUUCCUUGUUUUGGUCUGGUUGUAGUGGGGCUUGCAUAUUUAAAGGGUUCUUGUGAGAUGCUUGGUUUCUUUGUGUUUUCUAUUUUCCUUUGUUUGUGUAUUUUGCAGGUAUCUAUGGGGAAACAAUCUUGAGUCGGCGAGCUCUUUUGUUCUUGUAUGGCAUGCGGUUUAGCUGCUUCUGGUGGUGGUUGCUCGUGGGGUGCAAUCUGAAAGUUUAGCCCGGAAGGCGCGAAUGAGACGCCGAAGAACCUCACUAUUGCAAUCUUUUGCUUUCUUGGUGCCGGUGUGAUGUUUCCAUGGCUUUUCGAAGGCGGCCAGUGGCUUCCCUUUGUGGGUUUUGGUACCUAGGAUGGGGUAUUUCUUCUCUGUAACAAGCUUGUGCCAGUGCAUGCAAAUCCUGUUUUUCUUCUCCCUGGUGGAUUCUUCUUCUACGAGGAGAGGUGGGCAAUGUGGCAGUGCUGAGGACCAGUAAACGGCGCAACCUUUGCCCUUGCUACCUAGAGUUCCCUCUCUGCUUAGGCUCUGUUUGGGUGGAGGUGAGGAAAGGGUAAAUAAGAGUAAUGAGGGGUAUUAUACCCUGUUUGAAAAUGGGUGAGCUGGUGAAGUGUAAGGGUAUGGUUUACCCUUCUUUACCCCUCAAAUCUCAAUUUUUCUUACACCCCAAAUUGGGGUGUAAACAGGGGAGAUGAGAGAUGAAAAUUAUUUUAUUUUUUAUUUUCCUAUUG
rnacentral:misc_RNA from 1 species